UCGUCAUCGUAGGGUUAGUCGGGACCUAAGUCGAGUCCGAAAGGGGUAGACGAUGGCAAAUCGGUUAAUAUUCCGAUACCGACGGUUGUUUGUUUGAGUGAUGGGGGGACGCAUAGAGUUAAUCGAGCUCACUGAUGGAAUAGUGGGUCGAAGGACGUAGGUCGUGAAGUAGGCAAAUCCGCUUCACAUGAGACCGAGAUCUUACAGGCUCUUCAAUAGCUUCGGCUAGCGAGGAGAAUCGAUGAUACUGUCGUGCCGAGAAAAGCCUCUAAACGAGAACAACCGUUGCCCGUACCGCAAACCGACACAGGUGGGUGAGAUGAGUAUUCUAAGGCGCGUGGAUGAACCCUGGUUAAGGAACUCUGCAAACUAGCACCGUAUCUUCGGUAUAAGGUGUGCCCUAUUUGUUAGAGCGUUUACCGCUCGAAGCAUUGAUGGGUCGCAGCAAAGAGUCCCUCCCGACUGUUUAC
rnacentral:rRNA from 1 species